AGAUUGAACGCUGGCGGCAGGCCUAACACAUGCAAGUCGAGCGGUAGAGAGGUGCUUGCACCUCUUGAGAGCGGCGGACGGGUGAGUAAUGCCUAGGAAUCUGCCUAGUGGUGGGGGAUAACGUUCGGAAACGGACGCUAAUACCGCAUACGUCCUACGGGAGAAAGCGGGGGACCUUCGGGCCUCGCGCCAUUAGAUGAGCCUAGGUCGGAUUAGCUAGUUGGUGAGGUAAGUGGCUCACCAAGGCGACGAUCCGUAACUGGUCUGAGAGGAUGAUCAGUCACACUGGAACUGAGACACGGCCCAGACCUCCGUAC
rnacentral:rRNA from 1 species